GCUGUCGUUUGAGAAUCAGGCAUCUCCACAGCCCUGGGGCGGUUGUGAAACAGCCUGUCCCGGCGGCACGCUUUGUCCCAGCAAGGCCGGCAGCG
rnacentral:tRNA from 1 species